GUUUGAGGUAGUUGGACUUAUUUUGGACUCUCCCUCUGGAUACAUCUUGCAGUCCCCACCGGCAGACAGAAGAUUUGGCCACCGGAAGCCUGCCGCUGUGCCACUCGAGAGCCACACUCAGCUUUGGUAAUUAUCAACAGUUGGGGGUGUUUUACGAACCUUUUGCGUCGUGUAGGGAAAGAGUGUUAAUACUGGUG